GAUGAACGCUGGCGGCGUGCUUAACACAUGCAAGUCGAACGGAAAGGCUCCUGCUUGCAGGGGUACUCGAGUGGCGAACGGGUGAGUAACACGUGGGUGACCUGCCCUGCACUUCGGGAUAAGCCUGGGAAACUGGGGCUAAUACCGGAUAGGACGAUGUGUUGGAUGCCGUUGUGGAAAGUUUUUCGGUGUGGGAUGAGCUCGCGGCCUAUCAGCUUGUUGGUGGGGUAAUGGCCUACCAAGGCGUCGACGGGUAGCCGGCCUGAGAGGGUGUACGGCCACAUUGGGACUGAGAUACGGCCCAGACUCCUACGGGAGGCAGCAGUGGGGAAUAUUGCACAAUGGGCGCAAGCCUGAUGCAGCGACGCCGCGUGGGGGAUGACGGCCUUCGGGUUGUAAACUGCUUUCGCUAGGGACGAAGCGCAAGUGACGGUACCUGGAGAAGAAGCACCGGCUAACUACGUG
rnacentral:rRNA from 1 species